GAGGAGACGUCCUCUGUGCGUGACUCGUCCGGAUCGUCCAGGCUCUCGGUGUCCUCGGUGAUGCUAGUGGCCACCUGGGCUGUGGUGACACUGGUGAUCUGGAAGCAGCUCUUCUUCUUGGCCGGCAUCUUGGACAUGUAUUAACUCUAGCACCUGCCUCGCAAGGGCAGCAGGGUGGAAUGGUGGAGAAGAACCCACUUGUGAAGAGAAGCUGAAGAAGCCCCUUAUAGAGAGAGGAUGGCAAAGAAAAGUCAGCCUUUGAAGAAAAGUCUUCCUGAGGAAUGAGGACCACAUGGUCCUGUGGUCCUCCUAAUCCAGAUGCCAAGAAUAAAUGAUCCUGGGUGAUGAAGAGCCACUUGCCGCUUCCUCAGCUUUGUGAUUCUGCCUGAAAUGGAUUUCCAGUUGAAAGAUUAAACAACAACAACAGCAAUAACAACAACCAUCUCUCAAAUAUGCUCUUAACAGGUUGGGGAUGCAUCAUCAAAAUCUUCACAACCUUUGAGAUAGGCAGAACAGAAAAUACCCUUUUUCCCAUUACUUCGGUCUCUUGAUUCUUUAUGGUCAACAAAACAGCUCAAAUGUUGGCUUUUCAUUUCUACUGAUUUGCUGCAGAGUUUUCUAGAGCGAUGUAUGAAGUCCUGCAACAUGUUUGUCUCCCAUUUCACAGCCCCAGAAAGAGCAGUAUUAUAUGAAAAACCAUCAAAUACAGUCUCUUUUGCUGGGUCUUUGCUGUUCCCAGGGUUCCUGCUACAGCUUCAUCUCCUGGCCCCUUCUCUUGGUAAAAUUUGUUCUCACUCUUCUAAGCUCUUCUGAAAUGCACAAGUGCUUUUGCGUACAGCAACAGGAGAGAAGACUUUAAUGUAGAAAUGCCUUAGAAAUAUCUUCUGGUAUUGGGACUUCCUUGGUGGCGCAGUGGUUAAUAAUCCGCCUGCCAGUGCAGGUGAUGUGGAUGGGUUCCAGCCCUGGCCCGGGAAGAUCCCACAUGCCACGGAGCAACUAAGCCCGUGUGCCACAACUACUGAAGCCCGCGCGCCUAGAGCUCAUGCUCCGCAACAAGAGAAGCCAGCGCAACGAGAAGUCCGCACACCACAACGAAGAGUAGCCCCCGCAUGCUGCAAGUAGGGAAAGCCUGAGCACAGCAGUGAAGACCCAAUGCAGCCAAAAAUAAAUUAAAAAAAAAAAGAGAGAAAAAGGAAACAUCUCCUGGUAUUAAGAAAUUGUUUUUAAGGUAUAAUGUUGAUAUUGUGGUUAUUUUAAAAGAAUAAAAGGAAUCCUUGUGUUUUAGGGAUACAUAAUGUAAUAUUUGUGGAAUGUGCUUUAAACUAAUAUGACAGUAUAUUUAACCACAAUAAUUAAAAAAAAACCUAUGUGAAGGGGGAAAAUGGUUGGAAGUAGAUGAGGCACGACUGGCCGGGAUUUGGUAGUUAUUGAUUCAGAGUAAUGGGCACAUGAAAGUCAUUACUACAUUCUGCUUGCUUUUUUCGCAUGUUCAAUUUUCUAUAAUAAAAAGUUUACAAAAAUC